rnacentral:rRNA from 1 species
AACGAACGCUGGCGGCGUGCCUAACACAUGCAAGUCGAACGGGAUUAGAGAGCUUGCUCUUUAAUUUAGUGGCGCACGGGUGAGUAACGCGUAGAUAAUCUGCCUGAUGAUCUGGGAUAACAGUUCGAAAGGACUGCUAAUACCGGAUAAGCCCACGGGUUCUUUGGGAUCUGCGGGAAAAGGGGGGGACCUUCGGGCCUUCUGUCAUCAGAUGAGUCUGCGUACCAUUAGCUAGUUGGUAGGGUAAUGGCCUACCAAGGCUACGAUGGUUAGCUGGUCGGAGCGGAUGAGCAGCAACACGGGAACUGAGACACGGUCCAGACUCCGACGGGAGGCAGCGGUGGGGAAUUUUGCGCAAUGGGCGAAAGCCUGACGCAGCAACGCCGCGUGAGUGAUGAAGGCUUUCGGGUCGUAAAGCUCUGUCAGAGGGAAAGAAGUGUAUUGUGGCUAAUAUCCACGAUACUUGACGGUACCCUCAAAGGAAGCACCGGCUAACUCCGUGCCAGCAGCCGCCGUAAGAC